UCUGCAUCCAGUGGCGCUCCUCGUCGCCGUCGGCGGCCUGGUGGUUAUGUUGUUCGCUUCUCCGUGCGGAUGGCCGGCAGCCCCAGCUCAGCUACGGCUCGGCCUCAGCCCGUGGAGCAGUGGCCCCCUGCUCUCCGUGUCUGCUCGCCGGCAGAGGUGACGGCCUGGGGGACGCAUGCUGCGACGGCGAGUCACACAGUUACACCCUUGGUCUGUGAUGCCCUGCAACCUACCCAAGGCCAUCAUGUCCUCCUCUUCAAGCGCGGGCAUGCCACCGUGACAGCGUGAGUCAAUGCAGUUAACGCAACAGGCGAACCCACAGAGCCUCCUGAGGUGUGUGCAAAAUUUCGGAACCCAAUCAGUUCUAUAAUCAGAACACAAAGAUGGUUUUGGAUCCAAUGAUUUCCGAUUGGCUAAUGGUUCCUGAGGGGAAGAAAGAAGCGAUGUGGCAAUUGUUGAGCAAAAUUUUUAUUUUGCUAAGAGGAACUAAAGACAAAGUAAAGCAUAAUGCUAGGAAGAUGCUGGGUGAAAGUUUCCACCGGUGGAAGAGUAAUCUGAAUACCAAGUAUGUCCAGCAGGGCCAAACGCCAUUUGCAGAUUACGGGGACAUCACACAAGCAUAAUGAGAAGAGUUUGUUUAGCAAAAGACCUCUGAGGAAGCUCUAGCCCUGAGCCAAAUAAAUAAAGAUCUAGCACUGAGCAACAUAUAUAAAGUCCGUCUUGGCCCGGGUGGAUACCAAAGGAAGGUCAAUCGGUGGCGGCAUGAAAGAGAGGAUGUAAUAGCCGCCGAGCAACCCGACCUGUUUGAAGGCUUUGACGAACGUGGCUAUUUCUAGCUUCAAGCAAGUAUACCUAAGAUACUGGAUGUCAAGAUUAAGUUUGACCAACCCGGGAUCGAAGCGGUAGCACAAAAAAUGUACGAACUUACCGAGCUUCAAAAGCAAGAAAAGUUCAAAGCCAAGAGGGACAAGGAUGUCCUUAGUACAGCCAUUGGGUCCAAAGAGCAUGGAGGCCACGCCAGAGGCGUGUCCUCUAAGAUCGCGUUCCUUGACCCUGAAGCUAUUUGCAAGUCCAGGCAUCUCGGACUAAUGUGGUGGAAGGACGACCAUGAUGUGCUAAGCAAGUGUGAAACACGAAGGAAAAACGAGCAAAACGAAUAAAAGAACACCAAAGGAUGAUAAAGAGGGUUGGGGUUUAUAUAUCACUUCAGAUGCAACAAUAGCAAGACAGGGAUGUCAUAUGGGCACCAUACAACGUUAAAAAUCACUAGAUUCUUUUAUGCUACAGCCAAAGUUUGCAAACAUGCUCGUAUUGGACUCUGCUGAUUGGGAUAAGAGCAGAUACAAAGAAUUCAUUUCCAUCCUCAACAUGUCUUACAUGCACCGCAUUUACAAAAGAGGAAUUUAUCCCCUGACAUAAAAGAAGAAAUGAGAAUACGCACAAACUUCUCAUGCCACAAGCAACCCGCAGGUUCCAUGUACCGUGGAUACUACAUGUGCAAGCACACGAGGGAGCUCGGUCUGAUCCCGAAUGUCCGAGAAGACACGAGGAGCAACUCCAUGAGCAACAACUUCUCAAUGUAGUCACCGAUUUAUGUCAUUUCAUUUUGCAUGAAGUGGUCUAUGUAAGGGAGCAUUUUGUUCACCCUGAAUAUGAAUUGGCAACUGACAAAAUAUAUGAAGGUCUUCAUCAGUAGGACGCUCUGCACCUCCGUGCCAGCUCUAGUAGCGUUAGUCGAGAGGGGGGGGAAUAGGAUAAAAAUGUGUAUUCUAUGCGCAUUUUGAUGAUGUACUCUAAUGAUGCACUGUAAUAAUAUACUUCUAUAUGA